rnacentral:miRNA from 1 species
GCGGUUCAUGUGAUCUGAGA